rnacentral:miRNA from 1 species
UCCGACCAAGAUAAAUUCACUCUAGUGCUUUAUGGCUUUUUAUUCCUAUGUGAUAGUAAUAAAGUCUCAUGUAGGGAUGGAAGCCAUGAAAUACAUUGUGAAAAAUCAUCAACUAAGAAGGGGCCAUCAGUAUAGAAAA